rnacentral:rRNA from 1 species
AGCGAACGUUAGCGGCGGGCCUAACACAUGCAAGUCGAGCGAGAAAGGGGCUUCGGCCCUGAGUAAAGCGGCGGACGGGUGAGUAACACGUAGGUAAUCUUCCCUUGAGCGGGGGACAACGAGCCGAAAGGCUCGCUAAUACCGCAUACGUUUCUCGAGACUCUGGUCUUGGGAAGGAAAGCUAGGCCGCAAGGUCCGGCACUCGAGGAGGAGCCGGCGUCGCAUCAGCUAGUUGGUGGGGUAACGGCCUACCAAGGCGAAGACGCGUAGGUGGGCUGAGAGGAUGAUCAGCCACACUGGGACUGAGACACGGCCCAGACUCCUACGGGAGGCAGCAGUGGGGAAUAUUGGACAAUGGGCGCAAGCCUGAGCCAGCCACGCCGCGUGAGUGAUGAAGGCCUUCGGGUCGUAAAGCUCUGUGGGGAGGGACGAACCGCUGAACGUUCAUAGCGUUCAGCAUGACGGUACCUCCUUAGCAAGCACCGGCUAACUUCGUGCCAGCCGCCGCAGUAAGAC